GCCUGGGUGGCUUAGUCGGUUGAGCGUCAGAUUUUGGCUCAGGUCAUGAUCUCACACUCCGUGAGUUCGAGCCCCACUUUGGGCU
rnacentral:tRNA from 1 species